GCCGCCCCUCCCAGCUCGCUGCUCCAAGAAAGGUAAUCUUUCCCCCUCUGAUCCUUAUGUAUUAUGUAUUCGAUAUUCAGUAUAGGUUCUGUCAUGGAUACCAAUUAGUUUCUUCUUUUCUAGUCCUCAAUAUCAACUACAUUUUUCCAGUGAAAUUUUGAAUCGUGAGCAUGAGUCAACGUGAUGAUAAGGUUCCUUUAGGAUUAUGUGUUUGU
rnacentral:misc_RNA from 1 species